rnacentral:rRNA from 1 species
GGCAGAAAUGUCAUAGCCCUUCGGGGCCACUAUUACAGGUGGUGCAUGGUUGUCGUCAGCUCGUGUCGUGAGAUGUUAGGUUAAGUCCUGCAACGAGCGCAACCCUCGCCCUUAGUUGCUAACAGGUUAUGCUGAGAACUCUAAGGGGACCGCCUAGUUUAACUAGGAGGAAGGUGGGGAUGACGUCAAAUCCUCAUGGCCCUUACGCCUAGGGCUAGACACGUGCUACAAUGGCUGGUACAACGGGAUGCGAGAUGGUGACAUUAAGCUAAUCCCAAAAAACCAGUCUCAGUUCGGAUUGAAGUCUGCAAUUCGACUUCAUGAAGCUGGAAUCGCUAGUAAUCGCGGAUCAGCAUGCCGCG